rnacentral:rRNA from 1 species
ACGGAAGGCAGCAGUGGGGGAUAUUGCACAAUGGGCGAAAGCCUGAUGCAGCGACGCCGCGUGAGGGAAGACGGCUUUCGGAUUGUAAACCUCUGUCUUCGGGGACGAAAAUGACGGUACCCGAGGAGGAAGCCACGGCUAACUACGUGCCAGCAGCCGCGGUAAUACGUAGGUGGCAAGCGUUGUCCGGAAUUACUGGGUGUAAAGGGAGAGUAGGCGGGAUUGCAAGUCCGUUGUUAAAUCUAUCGGCUCAACCGAUAGUUGCGGCGGAAACUGUAGUUCUUGAGUGAAGUAGAGGCAGGCGGAAUUCCUAGUGUAGCGGUGAAAUGCGUAGAUAUUAGGAGGAACACCAGUGGCGAAGGCGGCUUACUGGACUGUAACUGACGUUGAGGCUCGAAAGCGUGGGGAGCAAACAGGAUUAGAUACCCUGGUA